AAGUAUCACUGCAUAUGUGCACUGCUCAAAACUACAAAGUUCUAUCACUGCAUAUGUGCACUGCUCAAAACUACAAAGUUCUAUCACUGCAUAUGUGCACUGCUCAAAACUACAAAGUUCUGUCACUAUAUAUGUGCACUGCUUGAGAGGAAGGCAGGGGUAAGACCUGAUCUUACGAAGAUGUCAGCUUGUGUGGUAGCAGGUGCAAGUGUAGCAUGUCAAAUGUGAUUAUGUAUCAGCUUGUAGUGUCUGUUGCCCUCCAUUUAUCAUGAUUGUGAACAGUGGUUAAGAUAUUUUCUGUGUGAACCAGAAUUUUGUUGAUUCUGUGCAAUCAAAACAAGAGACAGAACUAAAUGCUGAGGUUAACUUUGCAGCUUCCAUCUCUAACCUCAGGUUCCUGAUGUGCAUCGUCAUACAUCUACUUCUGAAUAUCAUUUUAAUAGGUAUUAUAAAAUUAUAAGUAUGACCUUAUAAAAUAAAGGAAUGCUGAUAAAAUGACCUCUUUUAUCUGUUUGGUUUAUAUCAAAUUUCUAAAAGAAAUUUCAAAAGUGUGAAUCUGAAAACCACUUAGUCCCUAAGUAAGAUUGCUGGAGGGAGCUUCUGAAGCACAUGGAAUGAAACAGGACAGUACACAAGUUAGUGCACAUAGCAGAGAGAGAAGAAAGGAGAAAGAUAAACAUCCAUGUGAGAGCAGCACAUGUGAGAGGGGAACAUCGAUUGACAACUCCGGCAUGUACUCUGAUGGGGAAUGGAACCAGCAACCUUGCAGUGCACAGGACAAGGCCCAACCAAGCCCCACCUGCCAGGGUCUGAGAGCUUUGCUUAAGGUGCAUUUGGUAAACACUACAUCAUUGUCAAACAUUAAAAAUGGCAGUUGUGUUUAUGAAGUUAUGUGGAGUAAUAAAAAAAAAUGUUCUUUAAAA